ACUGGAGGGGCACUGCAGCUCAGAUAGCACUCGAGGAGGAAGCAAAUCGAUGUUUCAGGUAAUGUUAGAAGGUGAUUCAUCAUACUAUUUGCAACUUUAUUCUAUCUGAACGUUUUAGAAGAUACCAUUAUCCUUUCCUCAAAUCCCUGCGUUACUAGUCCCAAUAUCCAGAGGCUUCCUAAAGACUCAAGUUGCAGGAUGUUAAGGGCUUUCCAUCAGUGACUGUCAAAGUUGAACAUGAUGCAGAGAGAUAACAGUGACUCCUUUCAACAUGAAUGCAAGUCCAUCAUCUUCGGAUUAAAUAUUUCGAACACAGACUGGAAGCAUAACAUUGUUGAUUAAAUUUGUGGACUGGGACACAAACAAUGGAAGUGAAGAGCCAGGAGGGAAAAAAAAAUUGGAGCAGAGAGAUGAAAAAAGGCAAGCCUGGAGAAGAAAAUGAAAGAUGAUGAAAUGUGUGGUGUUACAAUUUUGACAGGAUUAUUUAUUCCAAACCAACAAUGAGUUUUCAUGGUUUCAGGGUAAAAUAGUACAUCGUAGUGAUGUCACUGGACUAGUAAUUAAGAGCUCUGGCAAAAUGCUUUUAAAUAACAUUGUGUUUGCUGGUGUAACUUGAAUUCAAUUUCUAAA